rnacentral:snoRNA from 1 species
AACAUCAAUCGCAUAUCCACCCUGGUGUCAAAGUAACUCUUCUGUAGCUAUUUUGAUAAGGUUCACAAGUGGAUAAACGCGUAGAGUAACCCUCGUGGAGCACGUUUCUGGGCGCCUGGUAUUGACAUCAUGAUGGAAUAUUGGGAAUCAGUUGUGUCUAAAUUC